GAUGAACGCUGGCGGCGUGCUUAACACAUGCAAGUCGAACGGAAAGGCCCAAGCUUGCUUGGGUACUCGAGUGGCGAACGGGUGAGUAACACGUGGGUGAUCUGCCCUGCACUUCGGGAUAAGCCUGGGAAACUGGGUCUAAUACCGGAUAGGACGAUGGUUUGGAUGCCAUUGUGGAAAGUUUUUUCGGUGUGGGAUGAGCUCGCGGCCUAUCAGCUUGUUGGUGGGGUAAUGGCCUACCAAGGCGUCGACGGGUAGCCGGCCUGAGAGGGUGUACGGCCACAUUGGGACUGAGAGACGGCCCAGACUCCUACGGGAGGCAGCAGUGGGGAAUAUUGCACAAUGGGCGCAAGCCUGAGGCAGCGACGCCGCGUGGGGGAUGACGGCCUUCGGGUUGUAAACGCCUUUCGCUAGGGACGAAGCGUUUUUGUGACGGUACCUGGAGAAGAAGCACCGGCUAACUACGUG
rnacentral:rRNA from 1 species